rnacentral:tRNA from 1 species
GGGGAAUCGUCUAGUGGUAGGACAACGGACUCUGGAUCCGUGAGCCUAGAUUCGAAUCCUAGUUCCCCAGCCA